UCUUCAGGCGAACAUUGACAUCGAAGUGAUACCCUAUGAUAUCAAGAAAAAACCUAUGGAACAAAGAAGCAGAUAAUGAUCACAGAAGUGCAACAAAGAGCACCAGGACCUGAUCAUCAAAUGUUAUGGUGUAGAUCUAAUCAGGAACAAGACACCUAUGUUGAACUCUGGCAAGGUUGUCCCAUGCAGAAGGUUUGAUACCCAGGCUUCUUUUGUACAAGUCCCUAGUCCACCCUCAUCUUGAGAACUGUUCCGGUGUCUGGGAUCCCUACAACAUCUCAGAUAUCCAGGACGCUACUUCACAAUGGGGACCACAAGAGAAGCAGCAGUUUGACUGAGAUGAUCAGCACCUUUUAGUUGCCUACUAUAUCUACAACUACAAAGCACUCUGCAAGAAGACUGGGAAUGGUGCACAAGAUAGUCAAUGGUCUCUCCGCUCUUCCUUGAAAAUUUUCCCACUGCACUACUUAUACCUACUUGCGCCCUCUAUAUAGCAAACAAUGCCUAAUCUGUGCCUGUUGGUCCCCCAUGAUCCUCUUUUUCUUAUAUUAAUUGAGAGCUGAUUUGAUGAGAUAACCACCUGUCAGUGACCUUGCAGGGUGGUCUUAUCCCCCUGGCCAAACUAGUACAGACGGGCUUUAACAAAUCACGAGCAGGAAGUACCAUGACAUGACCCUCCA